AGCCCUUGACAUGUCCAGGACCGGUCGCAGAGAUGUGACCUUCUCUUCGGAGCCUGGAACACAGGUGCUGCAUGGCUGUCGUCAGCUCGUGUCGUGAGAUGUUGGGUUAAGUCCCGCAACGAGCGCAACCCCCGUCCUUAGUUGCUACCAUUUAGUUGAGCACUCUAAGGAGACUGCCGGUGAUAAGCCGCGAGGAAGGUGGGGAUGACGUCAAGUCCUCAUGGCCCUUACGGGCUGGGCUACACACGUGCUACAAUGGCGGUGACAAUGGGAUGCUAAGGGGCGACCCUUCGCAAAUCUCAAAAAGCCGUCUCAGUUCGGAUUGGGCUCUGCAACUCGAGCCCAUGAAGUUGGAAUCGCUAGUAAUCGUGGAUCAGCACGCCACGGUGAAUACGUUCCCGGGCC
rnacentral:rRNA from 1 species